rnacentral:rRNA from 1 species
AUUGAACGCUGGCGGAAUGCUUUACACAUGCAAGUCGAACGGCAGCACGGACUUCGGUCUGGUGGCGAGUGGCGAACGGGUGAGUAAUGUAUCGGAACGUGCCCAGUCGUGGGGGAUAACGUAGUGAAAAUUACGCUAAUACCACAUACGAUCUAUGGAUGAAAGCGGGGGAUCGCAAGACCUCGCGCGAUCGGAGCGGCCGAUAUCAGAUUAGGUAGUUGGUGGGGUAAAGGCCCACCAAGCCAACGAUCUGUAGCUGGACUGAGAGGACGACCAGCCACACUGGAACUGAGACACGGUCCAGACUCCUACGGGAGGCAGCAGUGGGGAAUUUUGGACAAUGGGCGAAAGCCUGAUCCAGCCAUUCCGCGUGCAGGAUGAAGGCCCUCGGGUUGUAAACUGCUUUUGUACAGAACGAAAAGGUUUCUACUAAUACUAGGAGCUCAUGACGGUACUGUAAGAAUAAGCACCGGCUAACUACGUGCCAGCCGCCGCCGUAA